UACGAAGGGGGCUAGCGUUGUUCGGAAUUACUGGGCGUAAAGCGCACGUAGGCGGAAUGUUAAGUCAGGGGUGAAAUCUCAGAGCUCAACUCUGAAACUGCACUCGAUACUGCUUUGCUCGAGGACUGGAGAGGAGAUUGGAAUUCACGGUGUAGCAGUGAAAUGCGUAGAUAUCGUGAGGAAGACCAGUGGCGAAGGCGGAUCGUCUGGACAGUUCCUGACGCUGAGGCGACGAAGGCCAGGGGAGCAAACGGG
rnacentral:rRNA from 1 species